GACGAACGCUGGCGGCGUGCUUAACACAUGCAAGUCGAACGGAAAGGCCCGGCUGUUUUGGGGUGCUCGAGUGGGGAACGGGCGAGUAACUCGCGCGUAACCUGCCCUUCACUUUGGGAUAGCUUCAGGAAACUGGGGCUAACACAUACCGGAUACUCCUUCUGCAUGGUGGGGGUUGGAAAGUUGCGGUGGUUGGGGAUGGAUUCGCGGCUCAUCAGCGGGUUGGUGGGGUAGUGGCUCACCAAGGCUUUGACGGGUAGCCGGCAUGAGAGGGUCACCGGCCACAAUAGGACUGAGGUACAGACCAGAGGGGAACGUGAGGCAGCGGUGGGAAAUAUUGCGAAAUGGGCCGAGGCCUGUUGCAACAACUCCGGGUUCGGGAUGACUUCUUUCGGGUUAUAAACAGCUUCGGCCGAAGAGGAAGCGUGAGUGACGGUAACGGAUGAAAAAGCAACGGCUAACUACGUG
rnacentral:rRNA from 1 species